rnacentral:rRNA from 1 species
GACGAACGCUGGCGGUGUGCUUAACACAUGCAAGUGGAGCGACGAACCAGGGCUUGCCCUGGGGGCAGAGCCGCGAACGGGUGAGUAACACGUGGGGUAAACGUACCCCGAUCACCGGGACGAACCCGACGGAAACUACGGGCGUAAUACCGGAUGUGUCCGUGAAUCAUGAGGUUCACGUGCAAAGGAAGCUUCGGCCUCCGGAUCGGGAGCGGCCCGCGGCCCAUUAGCCAGUUGGUGGGGUAACGGCCUACCAAAGCGACGAGUGGGUAGCUGGUCUGAGAGGACGAUCAGCCACACUGGGACUGAGACACGGCCCAGACUCCUACGGGAGGCAGCAGUGGGGAAUCUUGCGCAAUGCGCGAAAGCGUGACGCAG